rnacentral:rRNA from 1 species
UACGGAGGGUGCAAGCGUUGUCCGGAAUCACUGGGCGUAAAGGGCGCGUAGGCGGCUCGGUAAGUAGGGGGUGAAAUCCUGCGGCUUAACCGCAGGGCUGCCUUCUAAACUGUCGAGCUUGAGCACGGUAGAGGCAGAUGGAAUUCCCGGUGUAGCGGUGGAAUGCGCAGAUAUCAGGAGGAGCACCGGUGGCGAAGGCGGGUCUCUGGGCAGUAACUGACGCUGAGGAGCGAAAGCGUGGGGAGCGAACAGG